UACGUAGGGCGCAAGUGUUGUCCGGAAUUAUUGGGCGUAAAGAGCUCGUAGGCGGCUUGUCGCGUCGUCCGUGAAAACCUGCGGCUCAACUGCAGGCUGGCGGUCGAUACGGGCAGGCUGGAGUUCGGUAGGGGAGACUGGAAUUCCUGGUGUAGCGGUGAAAUGCGCAGAUAUCAGGAGGAACACCGGUGGCGAAGGCGGGUCUCUGGGCCGAUACUGACGCUGAGGAGCGAAAGCGUGGGGAGCGAACAGG
rnacentral:rRNA from 1 species